AGGAUGAACGCUGGCGGCGUGCCUAAUANCAUGCAAGUCGAGCGAAUCUAAGGGAGCUUGCUCCCAAAGAUUAGCGGCGGACGGGUGAGUAACACGUGGGCAACCUACCUGUAAGACUGGGAUAACUUCGGGAAACCGGAGCUAAUACCGGAUAACAUAUGAGACCACAUGGUCUCAUAUUAAAAGAUGGCUUCUCGCUAUCACUUACGGAUGGGCCCGCGGCGCAUUAGCUAGUUGGUGAGGUAACGGCUCACCAAGGCAACGAUGCGUAGCCGACCUGAGAGGGUGAUCGGCCACACUGGGACUGAGACAUGGCCCAGACUCCUACGGGAGGCAGCAGUAGGGAAUCUUCCGCAAUGGACGAAAGUCUGACGGAGCAACGCCGCGUGAGCGAAGAAGGUCUUCGGAUCGUAAAGCUCUGUUGUUAGGGAAGAACAAGUAUCGUUCGAAUAGGGCGGUACCUUGACGGUACCUAACCAGAAAGCCACGGCUAACUACGUGCCAGCAGCCGCGGUAAUACGUAGGUGGCAAGCGUUAUCCGGAAUUAUUGGGCGUAAAGCGCGCGCAGGCGGUCCUUUAAGUCUGAUGUGAAAGCCCACGGCUCAACCGUGGAGGGUCAUUGGAAACUGGGGGACUUGAGUGCAGAAGAGGAGAGCGGAAUUCCACGUGUAGCGGUGAAAUGCGUAGAGAUGUGGAGGAACACCAGUGGCGAAGGCGGCUCUCUGGUCUGUAACUGACGCUGAGGCGCGAAAGCGUGGGGAGCGAACAGGAUUAGAUACCCUGGUAGUCCACGCCGUAAACGAUGAGUGCUAAGUGUUAGAGGGUUUCCGCCCUUUAGUGCUGAAGUCAACGCAUUAAGCACUCCGCCUGGGGAGUACGGUCGCAAGACUGAAACUCAA
rnacentral:rRNA from 1 species